CCUACGGGUGGCAGCAGUGGGGAAUAUUGGACAAUGGGGGCAACCCUGAUCCAGCCAUGCCGCGUGUGUGAAGAAGGCCCUCGGGUUGUAAAGCACUUUCAGUGAGGAAGAACGCCUGGUGGUUAAUACCCAUCAGGAAAGACAUCACUCACAGAAGAAGCACCGGCUAACUCCGUGCCAGCAGCCGCGGUAAUACGGAGGGUGCGAGCGUUAAUCGGAAUUACUGGGCGUAAAGCGCGCGUAGGUGGCUUGAUAAGCCGGUUGUGAAAGCCCCGGGCUCAACCUGGGAACGGCAUCCGGAACUGUCAAGCUAGAGUGCAGGAGAGGAAGGUAGAAUUCCCGGUGUAGCGGUGAAAUGCGUAGAGAUCGGGAGGAAUACCAGUGACGAAGGCGGCCUUCUGGACUGACACUGACACUGAGGUGCGAAAGCGUGGGUAGCAAACAGGAUUAGAUACCCGAGUAGUC
rnacentral:rRNA from 1 species